rnacentral:rRNA from 1 species
GACGUAGGGCGCGAGCGUUGUCCGGAUUUAUUGGGCGUAAAGAGCUCGUAGGCGGCUUGUCGCGUCGACCGUGAAAACUCGCAGCUCAACUGCGAGCCUGCGGUCGAUACGGGCAGGCUAGAGUUCGGUAGGGGAGACUGGAAUUCCUGGUGUAGCGGUGAAAUGCGCAGAUAUCAGGAGGAACACCGAUGGCGAAGGCAGGUCUCUGGGCAUUACCUGACGCUGAGGAGCGAAAGUGUGGGGAGCGAACAGG